AGGCGCAUAGCUCAGUGGUAGAGCGCUACCUUGACACGGUAGAGGUCGGGGGUUCGAUACCCCCUGUGCCUACCA
rnacentral:tRNA from 2 species